UGAGGAAUAUUGGUCAAUGGGCGCAGGCCUGAACCAGCCAAGUAGCGUGAAGGAUGACUGCCCUAUGGGUUGUAAACUUCUUUUGUAUGGGAAUAAAAUGUUCCACGUGUGGGAUUUUGUAUGUACCAUAUGAAUAAGGAUCGGCUAACUCCGUGCCAGCAGCCGCGGUAAUACGGAGGAUCCGAGCGUUAUCCGGAUUUAUUGGGUUUAAAGGGAGCGUAGAUGGAUGUUUAAGUCAGUUGUGAAAGUUUGCGGCUCAACCGUAAAAUUGCAGUUGAUACUGGAUAUCUUGAGUGCAGUUGAGGCAGGCGGAAUUCGUGGUGUAGCGGUGAAAUGCUUAGAUAUCACGAAGAACUCCGAUUGCGAAGGCAGCUUACUAAACUGCCACUGACAUUGAUGCUCGAAAGUGUGGGUAUCAAACAGG
rnacentral:rRNA from 1 species